GAAGUGCUUGUCCAAGCAGUGAGGCUGGUGUGCAGGCAAAUCCGCACACGAUGAAAGUCGGGCUGUGACGGGGAGUGAAAAUAGCAGUAGCGAAGGUCUUGAUCUCACACUGUCAAGAAAAGCCUCUAGCCAGGUGCAGGUGCCCGUACCGCAAACCGACACAGGUAGGCGAGAAGAGAAUUCUAAGGCGCGCGGAAGAACUCUCGUUAAGGAACUCGGCAAAAUGACCCCGUAACUUAGGGAGAAGGGGUGCCCCGGUAGAGUGAAUAGCUCGAGGGGGCCGCAGUGAAUAGGCCCAAGCGACUGUUUAGCAAAAACACAGGUCUAUGCGAAGCCGCAAGGCGAAGUAUAUGGGCUGACGCCUGCCCGGUGCUGGAAGGUUAAGGGGAGUGGUUAGGGCUUAAGGCCCGAAGCUAUGAACCGAAGCCCCAGUAAACGGCGGCCGUAACUAUAACGGUCCUAAGGUAGCGAAAUUCCUUGUCAGGUAAAUUCUGACCCGCACGAAUGGCGUAACGACUUGGGCGCUGUCUCAACGAGAGAUCCGGUGAAAUUUUAAUACCUGUGAAGAUGCAGGUUACCCGCGACAAGACGGAAAGACCCCAUGGAGCUUUACUGCAGCUUGAUAUUGGACUUUGGUACGAUCUGUACAGGAUAGGUGGGAGCCUAAGAAGCCGGAGCGCCAGCUUCGGUGGAGGCAGCGUUGGGAUACCACUCUGAUCGUAUCGGAGUUCUAACCCGGGACCGUGAACCGGUUCGGGGACAGUGUCAGGUGGGCAGUUUGACUGGGGCGGUCGCCUCCUAAAGAGUAACGGAGGCGUCCCAAGGUUCCCUCAGAAUGGUUGGAAAUCAUUCGAAGAGUGCAAAGGCAGAAGGGAGCUUGACUGCGAGACCUACAAGUCGAGCAGGGACGAAAGUCGGGCUUAGUGAUCCGGUGGUACCGCAUGGAAGGGCCAUCGCUCAACGGAUAAAAGCUACCCUGGGGAUAACAGGCUUAUCUCCCCCAAGAGUCCACAUCGACGGGGAGGUUUGGCACCUCGAUGUCGGCUCAUCGCAUCCUGGGGCUGAAGUAGGUCCCAAGGGUUGGGCUGUUCGCCCAUUAAAGCGGUACGCGAGCUGGGUUCAGAACGUCGUGAGACAGUUCGGUCCCUAUCUGUCGUGGGCGCAGGAAAUUUGAGAGGAGCUGUCCUUAGUACGAGAGGAUCGGGAUGGACGUACCGCUGGUGUACCAGUUGUUCCGCCAGGAGCACAGCUGGGUAGCUAUGUACGGAAGGGAUAAGCGCUGAAAGCAUCUAAGCGUGAAGCCCGCCUCAAGAUGAGAUUUCCCAAGUAGUAAGACCCCUUGAAGACGACGAGGUAGAUAGGUUGGGGGUGGAAGCGCAGUAAUGCGUGGAGCUGACCAAUACUAAUCGGUCGAGGGCUUAUCCU
rnacentral:rRNA from 1 species